UAUUUAAAAAAAAACCAGGAUACUUCUCCUUAGCAACAAACAGAAUGGACAUUCUUACAGAGACCAAAGGAGCAUAGGAAACACUAUGCACAGGGAAAGAUGCCAGAUGUAGAGAUAUUGGAGCCAACUGAUGGAACUAUUUUGUCUUGAUGGUAAUGGAUACAUGACUAUAAACAUCUGAUGAAAGUCUUCAGAUCCACUGUUCAUGAAGACUCACCCCGGGGACAGAGGGCUUGAAUCUGGGGCUCUUGUGGAAGGUAACUCAUGUGCUUUGCCAGGUAGGCCAUCACCCACCUUCCCACCCCUCCAAACAUUUUUUUAUGGUUAAAAACUUAUAAGUGUAGCUUUUGUGAAUAGCACUGAUGCCUUCUACUUCUGGGGCACUCACAUUUUUCUAUAUUUGUUAACACCACUAGGACAUCUCAAUCUGGAGUACAAAAACCCAAAGCUGAGUCUAGUCCACAGACUCCCCAUGGUCAAGAACAGCAUCUAGGUCUUUCCACCACAGCCCUAACAGGGACUCUCUACCUCAGAAAUACACAAAGAUUAAGAACAAGAUAUUCACUGUUGCAUCAACUACAGCAGAAAUUAGAAACAAUAUUAAGUAUUCAGUACAGAACUUGCUAAAUAAAAUAUACCAAGUUUUCAUACAAUGGAGAACCAUGUAGAGUCACCCAAAGGAAUUCAGCAGAAUUGUAUGGACUGAAAUGGAAAAA